CCAUUCACAGAUACAUUCCUCCACUGCCGGAGAAGAAGAUCCCGGUUUCAACUCUUGGCCUCUCCAGUUAAGAGGAUCAGCUGCUGCCAGUCAGAGUAGAUAAUACUGGGCUAGCUGGCACACUGGCCAGACUCAACAUAAGGCAGCUUCCUGUGCACAUGGGGCCAGUUUAUGAAGAGUUUACAUGUCUCCAGGAGUGCAGCCUGUAUUUGGAAUGUGUUGCUUUCUGUGUUGCAUGGUCCUAAGGAGUGCCACAGGGUACAAGUGGGGAAGACACAUCUCUAUGGAAUCAUUUAAAACAGGGGACUUACCUUUGCAUUGGAACAAAGUGGUACAAAGGGAGAUGUGCAACGCUGGAAGCAGACCUAAUGGAAGCAGACUCUGGAAGCAGACCUAACCAUAACCCAUUGCACUACUAGCAGAACUGCGAUCCCAAACAUUCCUGACAAGUGAGGUGACGAGGACCUGCAAUACUCAGCAACUACCUGAAGAUGGCAAGAUAAUACCACACUCCUAAAUCCAUGCAAAUCAUGAAGCCUUGAGGGGGAAACACACACAGGAUUAUUCUCCACACACACACACACCACAAAAUGCCAAGGCAAAAAUUAUAAUUACUGUAUUUAUGACACUAGUCUGCAUUUUUUAAAAAAGCGAGUGAUUAAAAAGAGACUGUGUGUGUAUGUGUGUGCGCACACACGCAAAUGCAUGCCAUAUUCUUGUGCUGCAGUGGCUUUUUGAACCCAAAUGCAAAGUGCAAAGACUAAAUUGCAUUGCAUUCAAUUGCACCAGGGAGCCAUAGAGAGACUCUCUGCCUGCAAUAACUUAUCCAAAGCCUUCUAGUGGCAUUUUAUGUCUUUUAGCUGUAGUGCUAUUACGGCUUUGAUUACUCCAUUUUUAUGUUUGUCAGCAUAGCAUACGAGAGGGAUAAUUUGUAUUCAAUGUAUUAAACUGGUCAUGUAAAUUAUUAAAGACCCAAUUCAUAAAGGCAUUAGAUACACACACCA